GCAAAUUUUGCCUGUACGGAGAAAGAGAGAGAACGACAGAAAGAGGCAGAGUUCGUAAGGCCCCAAGAGAAAAAGAGAAAUAUCCAAGGCUGGCGAUUGUUCGUUCCCUGGCCAGACUUAGACAAUCGGAAUAGCAAGCACAGAAAGAAACUGUUAGGCCAUAUAUCAAUCACUCGAAUCGUCAGAACCGGCACCGAAAUGAAGUGGAGUCUUUCUACAAUAUAGAGUAUCUAAUUUAAUCAAAGCAAAUUGUUCGGUUAAGGUUUGUUAGAACUGCAAGCACAGAGAGACAUGCUGUUUAGCCGUAACCGAAAAGUUACUGGGUUCUCUAAUAGAAGAAUUACCGUUGGGUUUUCUACAAUAAAAUGAAAGGAUCUAACCGCAGAUUGGUCAUGAAUAAAUGUGCCAUUUUAUUGUGUUUGAGCUGGAAUAUAAUCUGUUAGGAAUUGACAUGUCACGUAUAUAUCUAUUUUAUAGAAAGGAUUUUAUAGUCUUAUAUAAGGUAUGCAAAAAGAUCCUCAAUGGCUUGGUUGCUUACAACAUUAGACCCAUAAAGACUUUUAACAAAGAAAGCAUGAAGUCCAUAAACAAAGGAUUACACUAUUUGACUUUUGGUUUAUUUUAAGAUUAGAAAUGUUAUUUUGAGCUAUGAAUCUAAAUUUUUAUGAUGUUAUGAAGAAAGGUUUCUAUUUUU